rnacentral:lncRNA from 1 species
ACGGAGCUCGGGAGUCGGCAACGGAGGUAGUGGCGAAGCUCGGGAGGCGGUGCUGCAUCCCCGUCCUCCUCCUCCGCCGGCAGCGUCCCUCGUCCUUCUCCUCCCCCACCGGCGACGCCGUCCUCUUCCUACUCCGCCGGCCUCGUCCUCCUUUCGCCGGCACCAGCGCCCCCUCGAUCUCUCUCCGUCGGCGUGGGUCCCUUCAUCUUCUCUCUCCAAAGCACUCCUGAAGCCACGACCGUCACAACGCCUUAGCCCGAGCAUCGCUCUGCCGAGUUC